CUGCAGGACCUGAAUGCCCAGGAGUGCUGAACUGGGGGGUAAGAGAGAACUUUUCAGAGGAGAACCAGGCUGCAAGUCCUAUACUUCUGGCUAGACACAAAUUUGUCAGCUGAAAGUCCCUCUCCAUCUGUCAAGUGAUAUGCUUGAAUGCACUUUACCUUGGGGAGUGGCCUUCAGAAGAAUCCAUUUCAAAGGUUCACUGGACUAUAGAAGAGAGGAGCAAAGAACCCCCAGAGAUCUUUCACCUAAAAACACAAAGUGGAGAUCAGCCAUCUUGCUGACUCUCUGCCACACAGAGCCAGGAACCAGUUGCAACGAGCAAGACUGAAUAUACAGCCACGCUAUAUGAUAGCAGCAUCAGUGCCAUGUUUAGAAGUUAUUUCUUGUUAGUUCAACAUGUUUUGCUAAAACCUGCCUCACUGAAAUAGCUCCCACCAGAACUAAUCUCAAUUAAAAAUAGAAUUCAUUAGCAA